UCCCGGGUGGUCCAGUGGUUAAGACUCCAUGCUUCUAAUGCAGGAGACACAGGUUCAAUUCCUGGUCAGGGAG
rnacentral:tRNA from 1 species